GCGCGCCGGGGCCGCCCGCACCGCGACUCAGACAAACCCUUCCAAAAGCUAAAGACGCUAUCUGGAAAAGUGAGUCCAGCGCCGUGCAAGUGACUCCGAAUGAGCUGGUUUGUUGCACAGUGGAGGAUCUGAAGCCUUUUAUCUGUCUUCUGCUGGGGCUUCUCAUUAUCUUCCCCAUUUCUUUCCCUUCAUCAUGCUUGCUGUAUACGCCUCCUUUUAUCAUCAGGUUGAAAUUGCUCUAAGUAAUACAGAGUACUUCCUUCAUAAGACAUCGUGUAAGUUUAAUAGUAUCUUUUGAAAAUGAUGACUGCUGUCAGAGGACUCCAUUCACCUGCUUGUGGACAACCUUGCUGAAGCAUCUUACCUACAAGUGGCCAUCGGGGACAAUUGCUCAGCCAUAGAGACGAGUUUCAGUGACUGCUGCCCUGAUACCAUAGGCUUUCCUGCUUUUGCAAGCACUGAAGCCUGAUAUAUAUCCUGCAGAAUGGAGAAGGACAGAGCAUUUUCCACUUUAGGUCUUUGCUGAAGGAAUCAUUCUAUAACCUCACCAAGGUUCCCACUCCCAACGAAUCUGAUUUCAGCAAAAAGAGUUGCUCACUUCAGUUAUCUUACAGAGAAGGGCAAAACUGUAUCAUUAGAUUUAGUUUGCCAUUUUGACAGCUAGAAGUGGACGUUCUGCUCUCCUGGUUUAAAAACCUGUUCAACCCUACUAAUUUCAUUUGGAUCACAUACAAGGUCACUCCAGGGUAAGUCUAGGUUGCUGCCCUUACCGUUGGCUUGCAUGUGUAGAUACUGAAAAAACUUUCUCCUGGAGUUUAUUAUGUAGGGAGCAUAUCCCAUGGCUGCUUGCAUGGAGAUACUGGUGCAGCUACACAAUGCAAUUUGCUUACAACCAGCACAGGCCUGGUUUCAGACCCUGGAUAUGUUUAAUGGAUAUUUUGUGUUUUUCCUCUUUAAUACUUUAUUUGUCUCUUUAGGUUAUAAUACUUCAAAUGAUGACUUCAUUAAAAGCAUAUAUAAUGAUUUUAUUCUAUUUGGUUAAUAAACAUUUAACCUCGAGCCACUUAAGCCCUGGUAGCAGUGGAAAAACACUUCAAAAAUGAUGAGAACAUCUGUAUCACAAGAUAUAUAUUUCUUCCUCCUAUCCUGGGACCCCAUUGCCCACAUGGAGGAUAUUCCUGGGCCCUAGCAAAUGUUAUACCGCAAGUUCAGGAUAUCUGUAUUUUGCCAGAGUAGUUUUUCCCACCUACAAAUACAUGUGCGUAAAUGUAGUACCAUCUAGGGAGCAGGUUCCCAUCUUCCCUAGACCUUGACCUCAAAUACUGUGCAUGUGCCAUGUAUAAGCAGAAAAUCUGGAAGCAAACAGGAAGGUUAGUUUGCAGCCUGCUCUUACCACACUUUGGUGGCACAGUAUGUGGAUACUGGGGGCUAUGGCAGGAUGAGGGCCUUGCUGGUGUACCCUUGGAGGACUGGAGCAGGCCAAAGGCACCACACUGAGCAUGCAUGUGUUCUGAGGGGUCAGUCUGCACAAGUUAUAGCCUCUCACUUGUACUCAAAUAUCCCUGUCAAGAGAAUGAAUUAAUUUUGUAGCAAAGAUUUGAUGCAGAUUAACUUGUGUACUGUGAGCAACAGGAAUUUCGGAAGAAGACAGGAAGUGCUCCACUUGGACACCACUGAAGUCUCAGUGACUCAUCUCUGGGCACCUUGUGCAUCCUUCCAUCCACCCGCCUGAGCCCAGGCAGCACCCAGUGAAGGAGCUGGAAUGAUCUUCAUUUCACACCUGCCACAGAUGUGGAUUUCCCUGCUGGUAUGAUCAAGAUAGGAAUCUCCAGGGAUUUUGUCUGUUCUUUUCAGAAGAAUGAAAUUCUGCUUCGGGAGCUCCAUACUUCUUUGUGUCCUUUGGCUUAUUUUUUCCAUUUCAUUCACCUUCUUCUCUUGUUUUCAGAAUUGUACUAUCAUCUAUGAUCAACUGCUCUGCAGGCUUCACACACCUCUCUGGAGGCAAGCAACAAGAGCUAGCUUAAUUCCUAGCAUACUCAUGUAUUCUCUUUUCUUCCAGCUUCCUCUGAGCUCUGUAUCUCACCUGACCACUCACCCUGUUAGAAGUCAGAAAAAAAAAAAGUGGAGACUUAGAAAGUACGAAAGCCCAAUUAUUUUAGUUGUGUUCCCGAGUAACAGACUUAAAAGCAGGAUGCCUGGAGUGCAUCAAAGGCCUAGUGAAGGUCUAUAGAGACACCUGUGUUAUUUUAGGAAGAAAUAUGUGCUGCUCAAGUCAUGUGUAACUACUGCAUUUAAGGAUCUAUGCCAUGAGGAGAAACCGGUGCUACUAGCAACAGGAGCUUAAGAGCAUCCUUGGCACCGGAACAAAGUGACUAACUACAAAGUGUGUGAUAUUUCCACAAUAGCAGAUGAUAAUCAGGAUAAGUACUAUAAAAUGCACGAGGGACAGAUAAGUGGAGAUGAAGAGGAGCUGUAACUUGGAGGUGCUGGGGAGCAAGUUCAGACUGGAUAUUAGGAAAAACUUCUCCAAAAUAACAUUGAGGCAGUGGCACAGGGUGCCCAGGGAGGUGGUGGAGACAUUGCCACUGGACGUAUUCAAGAACUGCAUGGAUGUGGCACUGAGGGACACGGUUCAUUGGUGGUAGGUGGACAGUUGGACCAGUUGAUUUUGUGGUCUUUUCCAUCUUUAAUGACUCUAUGACUCUAUGAUCCAUGAUCCAUGAGCUGUGCAAGGGCCUGGGCCCCAUGCUGUUCCUGGGACCUGUCCUUGGCAGGAAAACCUUGGGAAGGCCCUUGUGCCAACCUGGGCAGUUGAGAGAGAUUAAAUAUGUGUUGUCCUUGGGAGAGAGAGGUUGGGAACAGGCUUGGAGCCAUUACCACAGCAAGCAGCUUCUGGGGCAUGGGAAGGUGAGAUAGUGACUACCGCUUCAGAUGUGGCUCCAUUCAUUGGUUCAUGCAGGAUGCGGUGGCGAAUCCUCAACAGGUGUGGUAUCAGCACCUUCUGAGCCUGCACAGUGUGGUUAGAGCAGUGUGGCUGAGUGCUUCUGUGCUUAAGGGGGUUUGAGUAAGUCCCUGAAAAGGAUGUUUGGAAGGGCUUCUGUAGAUUCGAAUUAGUCCUUGUUUAACAGCCAGGACAGGCUGAUGGCAUUCUCCGAGACCAAUAAAUCCCUUCACAGACCUAUAGAAAAGAAUCACAGAAUCAUUAAGGUUGGAAGAGACCUCUAAGAUCAUCUAGUCCAACCAUUCACCUACCACAAAUACUGCCCACUAAAACAUGUCCUUAAGUACCACAUCUCCAUCUUUCUUGAACACUUCUAGGGAUAGCCUCAAGUGUACAGGAUAUUGCUUUCAUCUUGGACUCCCUGAUGUGCAAGUGUGGGCUUGCUCUGUGAGAGCAGAGUUGGACUUGAGGUGGCCCCUUGUGCCUUUUAUUCUCCAGCACUUCACAGACAAGUAGUGAGGAUGAAGGCCUCAUUGAGUGACCAGAGUGGUCAGUGUUAGAUGAGGAGGAGUCAUAUCAUUUAAGCAAGCAUUAGUGAGGCCCAAUAUCCCGACUGUACAAUCUCUGUGAUGAAUUAUUUAUGGCCAGAGGUGAAUGCAAGAAAAGUACACAGGAGUCCAAACAAGCCCUGCAUUGCCUUUGUGGCAGGAAGCAGGAGCCAUUUCACAGUGAUAAACAGCUGAAUGCUGUGCUGGUGUUAACGCUGUCACCAAGAGAAUUGCUUCAAUGUUAAUUUAUGGCUUUCAUAGCCCAACCUCCAUUACUUAUACAUAGAUUUAUAGCUCUUCCCCCUAACUAUGGCCUCUGGCUGCUGCAUAUGAGACACACAUUGCAAUUAAAAAAUGUCUUUAGGAAAACUAUCACCACUUCCGUCAUCGGGUACUGCAGGUGGGAUGGCAAUGGGGGCUUGUGGGCCUUGCAGGCUUGGUGUACCCAGUGAGCACCCAGGACCAGACCUGCUUCACCCAGGGCCUACCCCACACUGUGGUUCAGAUGCAGGCUGUGCUGGCACUGGAACGAAUUGCUGUGCCGAGAUGCAAGACAGAGUCUGUGGUCAUGCUCCCCAGCAGCAGUAACAGUAACAGUAGUUACACUGAGUGUCAUUGACUGCAGGAGUUGGGAUCCUCUUUACCUCCUCCCAAAGAGGGGAAAGGCAGCUCAGAGAGUAUAGACCAUGCAUAGGGGAUGUCUGGCUACUGUAGGUGCAGUGCUGGGAAGUCGGAGAAACAAAAAAGCAAAGCAUCACUCUUGCAGUGAGAGAUUUAAUGUUUGGAAGAUAGAAGUGUUACACAUGCAGUACAAGUUUAGGAGGGUAACCGGUGCCUCUAAUAACAGCCAGCAGCAUGCAGAUAGCUGUGAGAGCACAGUGCAUGCUUGUGUGUAUCACAGUAGGGCAUGCAUGUUAUGCUUUCUGUCAGACAAGACUUCUCAAUAUAUUUCGAAGAUAGCCCCAAGAAAAGCAUUUUUUUAAGUAGUAAAGAUGAGAAGCUAAAAAUGCAAAGAAUUGCAUAAUCACCAGAAGAAGUCAAGAUUUAAUACCUGUAUCACACUGCUUUCCAAUGUGUCUCUGUUAUUUCCACACCAUGUGCUGUGCUUAACAGUAGAUACCUCAGUUAUGAGGGUUAGUUUUGCUGCAGUGUUGAUGGAGGGUUCUAGGCCCUGGAAUCUUCAGUAUGAGUAGCGAGGAGCCAUUGCCCCACAAUACAUUUCGCCAUGCAAGUUCUUUGACUCCAGUGUCUUAUCCUGCAAAGCUCUUUGUCAUCUUAGCAUUUGCUUUUGUGCUCUCAUUGAAUACACUGGUGGUGCCCAGCUGUCGCUGCUGGUGUCUGUGUUUUUCAGAAGCUGAAGGGUACCACUUCACAAUGUGGAAAUAUAUGUUUUCUUUUUCUUCCACAUAUUUUUAACAAUUAUUUUUGAAGGUAUCAUAUUUGUUUUUGAUGCUGCUGAUAAAACCGCUAAGCAAUAUUAUGCCUCUUCUAUUGUUGUAUCUGUAGUUGAUUGUAUCUUAAGAUUAUGUUUAAGUGAACUUGUUUUUCUGUUGCCCUUUCACUUCUCAAGUUUUUCACGGCGAUGUUUCAGUUCCAGAAUGAUGAAAAGAUUCUAAAAAGUUUUUAAAAAAUCCUAUUUCUAAUCCAGGCAGGUUUGCAAAUGUUGGUAGGAAGUUCAGUUGAGCUGAGUAAAAUCUAAAAUUCUUGAUUAGCAGCUUUAAUCCUAUCCUAGAAGGAACGCACAGAUAUCUCUCUGCACUUGUCAAAACCUCUACUGUAGUCAUCAUUUUAUUUAUUUUACUGCAUUAUUCAUGUCCUUUAAAUUCAAGUCUUCUACACAGAAGAGCCAUGUUUCAUUGUGCCACAGGCUGAGUAGGUGAGAUAAGCCCAUUUUCCUGUGAGAAGGUGUUUCAGUGGGAGAAAUAACCGGCUGAGGAAGAGAAUAAUUUCCUAAGUGGCAUUUCAUCUUUACUGAAUGUUUCCAUGCAUUUGUUACGCGACUGUCAACUCUCAAAUUCAAGAGUUCCAUCUAGAGGAAUCCUCUUUCAUGAACUUGGCUUUGCUGGCCUUUUAAUGUGUCACAUUCCCUGGCUGGAAAUAAAUUAAUUCAUUUUUUCAUCAAGGUUUUUUUUUUUCCUUUUUUUAGACUACUUACAAAUUCCAUUGUAGUACUACUUGCUGGUAGUCUUUGAAAUGACACUUUAACAUCCAAACGCCCUGCUUAUGCUUAAGACACUGUGCCCAUAUUUCUGCUUACCAAGCGUGCUGAAGAGAGAGAGAAAUUCUGGUCAUGUCUGACUGUCACUCAUGAAUUUGUAGCCUGGAAAGCUGCACGGCUCAGGUUUUCACAUCAACAGAAAUAAAAUAUAUCCUUAAGCAAAAAAUAUUUAGAGUGGCUGAACAGACUCCGGCAACAGCAAACCAUGUAAUAUUAUAGAAAAUAUUGAAUGCAUACAUAUCCACUGAGAACUAAUACUUCGGCAAAUGGACAUAAAUCUUUUUUCAGUUUGGAUUAGAAGUCGCUGUUUCCAGGUCUAUUCUUCUUAACCUGGAGAGAAAUUUGGAGAAAAAUCCUUCCGAAAUACAAAUGUGAGCAAUUUCCUUCUGGGGUUAGGAUUUAAAUUUCUGUUGACUUUUUAUCUAAUGAACCUUCUAGUACCUUCUGCUGCUCAGAUACUCCGCUUGAUCUUUUCUAAUAUUCCUUGUUUGUCAGAUGCAGAGAUAAAAUACCUUGGUAAUGUUUAAUAUUGAAGUCUCAUAUUUAAACUAUAUUAAAAUGAUCUUUGUAUUCAGAUGUGUGGAAUUUGCUUGAGACAGAAGCCAGCUUUCCAGAUGUCAGAGAGAAAAAUCUUCUCUCUCCAAACCAUGUUAGUUAGAGGGUAGCAUGGUACAACCAUACCAAAUGGGCUGAAGACAUUCCAUUCUUGGUGCUAGCUGGAGUUAGUGGCUGCUGUAGUUUUAUUUGCUCACAACAAAAUAGGACAGAACAAAACAGAACAAAAAAUACUUUAAGAUUUCCCGUGUCUUUGCUUUCCCAACCAAAAUUAACCACGCCUUCAGUAUUCAUGCUGAGUCUAACAGCACUCUUAUACUGUAUGAUCUUUAUUGGGUUAGCUGGGUUAGCAAAGCCUGCAAGGUUAAGUUCUGAGUGCUUUUUAAAGAAAACUCCUUGAUGUGUCCUUAAAAAAACAGUACAGCAAAGGUGAAGUGUAUGUGAUGCUACAGUAGAGAACUAAGAGCAAAUCACCGAGGCAAGUAAAGGCAAGUUGCCUGUGUUGUGUCUGUACUGUUUAGUAAAUGAAGACCAAAGAAGCACUCAGUGUAGUUCUGUGGAACAGCCUGUAUUUAUAAUGUUUGGAGCUAGUCCCUUAGCAGCAGAUCUGUGCUGGAAAUAGAUCGAAACAAUAGACAACAGAGCCUGCAAGGCAUGACCUACUAGUUUACUGGUAUGGAUGAUCAGGAGGCAAGUGAUUUCACUUGCUCCUUGUCCAGCUUUUGCUUAGAAGUAAGGAUUUUCCCUUAAUGACAUGAUUCACAUGAAAAACAUAGAUAACUCUAAAAAUAUAGCUACCUGAAUUCAUCAGAGUAUAACAGGUAAAGUGUGUUUCUCCACACAAGUAAUUAUUUUUCCUCUCAAGCUCGAAGUAACAUAUAUUAAUUUUUACCUGCAUACUAGAAGACUGAUUGCACUUCUGCUUUUCAGCCUAAGGUGUAUUUCAAUUUUUAUUACAUUGUAAUAAAAAUAGAACUGCUCUACUGCAUUGUCUUUAACUUCAUUUUCUGCUAUCAUUUUCUGGAAGUUUUAGAUGUCAAAGAAAAAUUAAGGUCAAAUGCAUAACCCUAAGCUUAAAAUUGUCCGUAUUUUUAAUGAUACAACACUACAAUAUGCAAUCAUAAUUUAAUUUAUCUGAUCUGACACCUGCCACCUUGUUGCUGCUUGUGUUGGCUUGAGAGCUUUUUCUAGGUGUCUUCACCUUUCUCCCUCUUCAUUUUGUAAAUAGCUUUGCAGUUAAGUAAUCUGAGGAAUUCAGCAGAGGCAAAAUGUAAGUAAGUACUUAUGAUUUUUAUUAUUUGAUUUACCCUACUUAUAAGACACAAGCCAUGUGGAUGUUUCUGAGUAAUUGGAUGCAAUUGACUGUGAUGAGAGGUUUGCUUAGAACGCAUUUCUGGAAAGGCCACUAUUUCAUUAAGGACUGUUGAAGUAUUCUGGCCUUCAGAGUGCCCAGAAUUGUCUAAUAACUCAAUAAAGCCACAACAAACUGCAUGUGUUCAGCCAUCAAAGUGACUGUGAUCGGGUAAAGUCUUCCCAGGCCUUUACAUUUGGCAUUUCCAUUCAACUUGCCAGUGCGAGGUGGAACACUUCUACAGUGAGCUUCAGCCACUGACUAUGGAAUUGUUCUUCCCAUAUAUCUUUCAAAAAACUCCUCAAGAACUAGUUCACAGGUGCUUCUGGUUCUUCAGGUCACGGGCUGAAAGCGGACCUCUGCAGACAGAGAGGAGAGUUCGUGACUGCAAUGAGUUUUGAAGGGCAGAGGACAUAUCUUUGGAGGUAACACUAUUUGCACAGAAGCAUUUCUGAAGAAAAACUGUGAUCCAUAAAGAACUUCCCGAACAAGAUAACUGCAAAGCAGAUUUAAUUGUGAAUAUUUAUUGCUCUUCAAAACAAUGAGACUGCUUAAUAAUGGUGCAACAAGAACUGAAAAUCCAGGAAGCAGGCAGUGCAAAGUCUACAACAUCCUUAGUUUUACCCCCUGUGUCCAUAUGUGCUCACUAUCCAUCAGCUGAAGUUCCUAACUAGCUGUCAUAGGAAAUGACACUCCAGAGUGUGUACGUUUGCUUUUUGCAUGAUGGUAUUUUUACAGAAAUUUACCGUUCAAUGGGUUUAAUUUGUUGUCUAAACUGAUAACAACUCCAGCCCAGAGAAGCAUUUAAAUACACAUUAACAAUAAAGUUAAGCACACUUAAAAUGCUCUCUCAGUUGGAAUCCAAGACCUGAUCUUGAAUCCCUCAUGCCUAUGAUUCAGUGUAUAGAAGCCACAAAUUUAUUAGCACAGUAAAGAGCUGAUUGGUGCUAUCUGUGAAAUGCUCUUGUCUGAACUGCAGAGAAAUCUCAGGAAAAGCAGUAAAGGAACAGAAGAUGAUCUGAUGCUUCCAUAAAUAGAGUGUGGAAAAAGUCCUCAUAGAUUUUUUUUUCCAGUGGAAAGUGUAUAAUUUAACUGAUAUAGAAAUGUUUCACAGGACUGUGCUGCUCAAUUUAAAUAAAAGACAACAAAAAAAUA